rnacentral:lncRNA from 1 species
CAGCUAUUUAAGAGAUAGAAGCAGGGAUUUCAAGAGUACAAGGUCAGCCUGGGCUUGACUCAUCUCAAAACAAACAACCCCCAGCUCCCAGUAUGCAGUAUGAUUCAUUGUGACUUUCAAAGCACACGUGUUUCACAGAUUGUUCCUAAGUGCAUGCAUAUGUCGGAAGAAGCACUUAAAACCGAUAAGAGUCUCUCACUGCACAUGGAGCUCACCAACUGGCUAGACUGUCUCCAUAGCCCCAGCACUGGAAUUACAGAGUUGUCACUCUGAGGUCCUAACUGGUCUGGUGCAUAUUAUACAGCCCAGGCUAACCUUACACAGGCACCCUUCCUGCCUCUGGAGUACUGGGAUUAUGGCAGUGUGCCAUCCUGUUGGACACUAAAUGGAUUUGUUGUUGCUGUUUCUCCAAAAACUGUCUCAAGUACCCUGAAUGCCCA